GAUGAACGCUGGCGGCGUGCCUAAUACAUGCAAGUCGAGCGAACGGACGAGAAGCUUGCUUUUCUGAUGUUAGCGGCGGACGGGUGAGUAACACGUGGAUAACCUACCUAUAAGACUGGGAUAACUUCGGGAAACCGGAGCUAAUACCGGAUAAUAUUUUGAACCGCAUGGUUCAAAAGUGAAAGACGGUCUUGCUGUCACUUAUAGAUGGAUCCGCGCUGCAUUAGCUAGUUGGUAAGGUAACGGCUUACCAAGGCAACGAUGCAUAGCCGACCUGAGAGGGUGAUCGGCCACACUGGAACUGAGACACGGUCCAGACUCCUACGGGAGGCAGCAGUAGGGAAUCUUCCGCAAUGGGCGAAAGCCUGACGGAGCAACGCCGCGUGAGUGAUGAAGGUCUUCGGAUCGUAAAACUCUGUUAUUAGGGAAGAACAUAUGUGUAAGUAACUGUGCACAUCUUGACGGUACCUAAUCAGAAAGCCACGGCUAACUACGUGCCAGCAGCCGCGGUAAUACGUAGGUGGCAAGCGUUAUCCGGAAUUAUUGGGCGUAAAGCGCGCGUAGGCGGUUUUUUAAGUCUGAUGUGAAAGCCCACGGCUCAACCGUGGAGGGUCAUUGGAAACUGGAAAACUUGAGUGCAGAAGAGGAAAGUGGAAUUCCAUGUGUAGCGGUGAAAUGCGCAGAGAUGUGGAGGAACACCAGUGGCGAAGGCGACUUUCUGGUCUGUAACUGACGCUGAUGUGCGAAAGCGUGGGGAUCAAACAGGAUUAGAUACCCUGGUAGUCCACGCCGUAACGAUGAGUGCUAAGUGUUAGGGGGUUUCCGCCCCUUAGUGCUGCAGCUAACGCAUUAAGCACUCCGCCUGGGGAGUACGACCGCAAGGUUGAAACUCAAAGGAAUUGACGGGGGCCCGCACAAGCGGUGGAGCAUGUGGUUUAAUUCGAAGCAACGCGAAGAACCUUACCAAAUCUUGACAUCCUUUGACAACUCUAGAGAUAGAGCCUUCCCCUUCGGGGGACAAAGUGACAGGUGGUGCAUGGUUGUCGUCAGCUCGUGUCGUGAGAUGUUGGGUUAAGUCCCGCAACGAGCGCAACCCUUAAGCUUAGUUGCCAUCAUUAAGUUGGGCACUCUAAGUUGACUGCCGGUGACAAACCGGAGGAAGGUGGGGAUGACGUCAAAUCAUCAUGCCCCUUAUGAUUUGGGCUACACACGUGCUACAAUGGACAAUACAAAGGGCAGCGAAACCGCGAGGUCAAGCAAAUCCCAUAAAGUUGUUCUCAGUUCGGAUUGUAGUCUGCAACUCGACUACAUGAAGCUGGAAUCGCUAGUAAUCGUAGAUCAGCAUGCUACGGUGAAUACGUUCCCGGGUCU
rnacentral:rRNA from 1 species